CAGUCUUCAAGUGCAAUGAGUUAAUUGCUUCUGAGACAGCAAGCAGGCAUCUACAACUUCCAAGAGUUUGUAAAACCACUAAACAAAGGUCCCAAAAAAGUAACAUUAAUUGAUGGCACCAAGACAUGAACCCCCAGACAAGCUGUACUGAAUUACCAGAGUAGAUGACUAGAAGCUCUCAGACCGCUCUGUGCAGAUUCUGCACAGAGCAACUGUAUAGAACUGGGAAGAGUCCAGCAAAAGAGGAGCAGAAAAAGGAAACAACAUUCCAUAAAUGCUGGCGAUGUGAACUUAUGCUGUAGUCCAGGAAACAAAACAUACAACAAAUUCCUGAAGGGGUGGAAAUUUCAGCUGGUAAACAAGUCCCUCUGAAACCAUGCAUAGGAGAAAGAAGAAAGGAAGUCUUGGAAUCUAAUGACUAAGUCUCUUGACAAAACCCUGGCUUGCUCUUGGUCCCAGAGACAUGAAGGUGCUUCAUAAAGGACUCUGAUUAUCUCUUCAAAUGUCUACUUUCUUCCUUCAAUAUUCCACACAGAUAGCAGUAGGAAAAAAGAAACCUGAGUUACCAGAUGUAACAAUGUCUAAAACCUGACUUUAAUAUGGAAGGACUGCAUCCAUACCACCUUCCACCAAUUCUCAUCAAGAAAGCACCUUCUUGAUCCUUAAGAUGCUACCCAAAGACUGUUGUCUAGCUCUCCUCUUUUUCAACUGCAGUUCACAUCUAUAGAUUCAACACUAGACUAGAAAAGCCCUGACAACUGACAUGAAUGGACUCCUGAUAUUUUAGCAACUUAGCAGACAAAUCAAUUACAUACUGCUGAAGUUAACCACAUCUUACCUUCCCAUGUGCAUUGGAGCAUCAUGUCUUCAAGGAGUCCAAAGAAAGCUACAGGUAGUCUGGUUUCUAGGCUUCUCAUGACCUAAGUCUACUUGCUGAUACUCAAUAGUCUUCUCAAGACUUAUGGAGAAGGUGGAGCUGAGCUG